rnacentral:rRNA from 1 species
UACGGAGGGGGUUAGCGUUGUUCGGAAUUACUGGGCGUAAAGCGCACGUAGGCGGAUCAGAAAGUUGGGGGUGAAAUCCCGGGGCUCAACCCCGGAACUGCCUCCAAAACUCCUGGUCUUGAGUUCGAGAGAGGUGAGUGGAAUUCCGAGUGUAGAGGUGAAAUUCGUAGAUAUUCGGAGGAACACCAGUGGCGAAGGCGGCUCACUGGCUCGAUACUGACGCUGAGGUGCGAAAGUGUGGGGAGGCCAAACAGGAAUUGAGAUACCCGGGUAAGUCC